UACGUAGGGUGCAAGCGUUAAUCGGAAUUACUGGGCGUAAAGCGUGCGCAGGCGGUUUUGCAAGUUUGUCGUGAAAUCCCCGGGCUCAACCUGGGAAUGGCGAUGAAGACUGCAAGGCUAGAAUCUGGCAGAGGGGGGUAGAAUUCCACGUGUAGCAGUGAAAUGCGUAGAGAUGUGGAGGAACACCGAUGGCGAAGGCAGCCCCCUGGGUCAAGAUUGACGCUCAUGCACGAAAGCGUGGGGAGCAAACAGG
rnacentral:rRNA from 1 species